UCCCAGACUCCUCGGGAGGCAGCAGUGGGGAAUAUUGCACAAUGGGGGAAACCCUGAUGCAGCGACGCCGCGUGAGCGAUGAAGUAUUUCGGUAUGUAAAGCUCUAUCAGCAGGGAAGAAAAUGACGGUACCUGACUAAGAAGCCCCGGCUAACUACGUGCCAGCAGCCGCGGUAAUACGUAGGGGGCAAGCGUUAUCCGGAUUUACUGGGUGUAAAGGGAGCGUAGACGGCUGUGCAAGCCAGAUGUGAAAGCCCGGGGCUCAACCCCGGGACUGCAUUUGGAACUGCGUGGCUUGAGUGUCGGAGAGGCAGGCGGAAUUCCUGGUGUAGCGGUGAAAUGCGUAGAUAUCAGGAGGAACACCGGCGGCGAAGGCGGCCUGCUGGACCGCGACUGACGUUGAGGCUCGAAAGCGUGGGGAGCAAACAGGAUUAGAUACCCUUGUA
rnacentral:rRNA from 1 species